rnacentral:rRNA from 1 species
CCAAGGAGUCUGGCACGUGCGCGAGUCAUUGGGUCGCUCCGAAACCUAAAGGCGCAAUGAAAGUGAAGGCAGCCUCCGGUUUGCCCAGGUAGGAUCCCGGUGGCUUCCGUCUCCGGGCGCACUACCGGCCCGUCUCGUCCGCACCGCGGUGAGGCGGAGCAAGAGCGCACGCGCCGGGACCCGAAAGAUGGUGAACUAUGCCUGAGUAGGACGAAGCCAGAGGAAACUCUGGUGGAAGUCCGCAGCGGUUCUGACGUGCAAAUCGAUCGUCGAACUUGGGUAUAGGGGCGAAAGACUAAUCGAACCAUCUA